GUGCCAGCCGCCGCGGUAACACCGGCAGCUCGAGUGAUGGCCGAUUUUAUUGGGCCUAAAGCGUCCGUAGCUUGCUGUGUAAGUCCAUUGGGAAAUCGACGCGCUCAACGCGUCGGCGUCCGGUGGAAACUGCACGGCUUGGGGCCGAGAGACUCGACGGGUACGUCCGGGGUAGGAGUGAAAUCCCGUAAUCCUGGACGGACCACCAAUGGGGAAACCACGUCGAGAGACCGGACCCGUCAGUGAGGGACGAAAGCCAGGGUCUCGAACCGGAUUAGAAACCCUGGUAGUCC
rnacentral:rRNA from 1 species